AUUGAACGCUAGCGGGAUGCUUUACACAUGCAAGUCGAACGAGUGGCGGACGGGUGAGUAAUGUAUCGGAACGUGCCCAGUAGCGGGGGAUAACUACUGGAAAGAGUGGCUAAUACCGCCUACUAUUGGAGCAGCCAAAAUCGGAUUAGCUAGUUGGUGGGGUAAAGGCACAACAAGGCAACGAUCCGUAGCUGGUCUGAGAGGAUGACCAGCCACACUGGGACUGCGACACGGCCCAGACUCCUACGGGAGGCAGCAGUGAGGAAUAUUGGACAAUGGGGGAAACCCUGAUCCAGCCAUCCCGCGUGUAUGAGAAGGCCUUCGGGUUGUAAAGUACUUUUGGCGGAGAAUCGGUAUCGUCAGAAUAAGCACCGGCUAACUACGUGCCAGCAGCCGCGGUAAUAC
rnacentral:rRNA from 1 species